UACGGGGGGGGCAAGCGUUGUUCGGAAUUACUGGGCGUAAAGGGCUCGUAGGCGGCCAACUAAGUCAGACGUGAAAUCCCUCGGCUUAACCGGGGAACUGCGUCUGAUACUGGAUGGCUUGAAUCCGGGAGAGGGAUGCGGAAUUCCAGGUGUAGCGGUGAAAUGCGUAGAUAUCGGGAGGAACACCAAUGGCGAAGGCAGCUUGCUGGGACGGUACUGACGCUGAGGCGCGAAAGCGUGGGGAGCAAACAGG
rnacentral:rRNA from 1 species